rnacentral:rRNA from 1 species
GCUAGCUACAGGCUUAACACAUGCAAGUCGAGGGGCAGCAUUUUAGUUUGCUUGCAAACUGAAGAUGGCGACCGGCGCACGGGUGAGUAACACGUAUCCAACCUGCCGAUAACUCCGGAAUAGCCUUUCGAAAGAAAGAUUAAUACCGGAUAGCAUACGAAUAUCGCAUGAUAUUUUUAUUAAAGAAUUUCGGUUAUCGAUGGGGAUGCGUUCCAUUAGUUUGUUGGCGGGGUAACGGCCCACCAAGACUACGAUGGAUAGGGGUUCUGAGAGGAAGGUCCCCCACAUUGGAACUGAGACACGGUCCAAACUCCUACGGGAGGCAGCAGUGAGGAAUAUUGGUCAAUGGGCGAGAGCCUGAACCAGCCAAGUAGCGUGAAGGAUGAAGGCUCUAUGGGUCGUAAACUUCUUUUAUAUGGGAAUAAAGUUUUCCACGUGUGGAAUUUUGUAUGUACCAUAUGAAUAAGGAUCGGCUAACUCCGUGCCAGCAGCCGCGGUAAUACGGAGGAUCCGAGCGUUAUCCGGAUUUAUUGGGUUUAAAGGGAGCGUAGGUGGAUUGUUAAGUCAGUUGUGAAAGUUUGCGGCUCAACCGUAAAAUUGCAGUUGAAACUGGCAGUCUUGAGUACAGUAGAGGUGGGCGGAAUUCGUGGUGUAGCGGUGAAAUGCUUAGAUAUCACGAAGAACUCCGAUUGCGAAGGCAGCUCACUAGACUGUCACUGACACUGAUGCUCGAAAGUGUGGGUAUCAAACAGGAUUAGAUACCCCUGGUAGUCCACACAGUAAACGAUGAAUACUCGCUGUUUGCGAUAUACAGUAAGGGGCCAAGCGAAACCAUUAAGUUUUCCACUGGGGGAGUACGCCCGGCAACGGUGAAAUUCAAAGGAAUUGACGGGGGCCCCCCACAAGCGGAGGAACAUGUGGUUUAAUUGGAUGAUACGCGAGGACCCUUACCGGGGCUUAAAUUGCACCAGAAUAUAUUGGAACCAGUAUAGCGGUAAGGCUGUGGUGAAGGUGCUGCAUGGUUGUCGUCAGCUCGUGCCGUGAGGUGUGGGCUUAAGUGCCAUAACGAGCGCAACCCUUAUCUUUAGUUAUUAACAGGUCAUGCUGAGGACUCUAGAGAGACUGCCGUCGUAAGAUGUGAGGAAGGUGGGGAUGACGUCAAAUCAGCACGGCCCUUACGUCCGGGGCUACACACGUGUUACAAUGGGGGGUACAGAAGGCGGCUACCUGGUGACAGGAUGCUAAUCCCAAAAACCUCUCUCAGUUCGGAUCGAAGUCUGCAACCCGACUUCGUGAAGCUGGAUUCGCUAGUAAUCGCGCAUCAGCCAUGGCGCGGUGAAUACGUUCCCGGGCCUUGUACACACCGCCCGUCAAGCCAUGAAAGCCGGGGGUACCUGAAGUACGUAACCGCAAGGAGCGUCCUAGGGUAAAACUGGUAAUUGGGGCUAA